rnacentral:rRNA from 1 species
UACGUAGGGUGCAGGCGUUAAUCGGAAUUACUGGGCGUAAAGCGUGCGUAGACGGUUAUGUAAGUCAGAUGUGAAAGCCCCGGGCUUAACCUGGGAAUGGCAUUUGAGACUGCAUAGCUAGGGUGCGGAAGAGGGAAGCGGAAUUUCCGGUGUAGCGGUGAAAUGCGUAGAUAUCGGAAGGAACACCAGUGGCGAAAGCGGCUUCCUGGUCCAGCACCGACGUUCAGGCACGAAAGCGUGGGGAGCAAACAGG